CAGUCGCCGCGGUAAUACAGAGGAUGCAAGCGUUAUCCGGAAUGAUUGGGCGUAAAGUGUCUGUAGGUGGCUUUUCAAGUCCGCCGUCAAAUCCCAGGGCUCAACCCUGGACAAGUGGUGGAAACUACCAAGCUGGAGUAUGGUAGGGGCAGAGGGAAUUUCCGGUGGAGCGGUGAAAUGCAUUGAGAUCGGAAAGAACACCAACGGCGAAAGCACUCUACUGGGCCGACAUUGACACUGAGAGACGAAAGGUAGGGGAGCAAAUGGGAUUAGAUACCCCGGUAGUCCCUGUCUCUUAUAA
rnacentral:rRNA from 1 species